GACGAACGCUGGCGGCGUGCUUAACACAUGCAAGUCGAACGGAAAGGCCCUGCUUUUGUGGGGUGCUCGAGUGGCGAACGGGUGAGUAACACGUGAGUAACCUGCCCUUGACUUUGGGAUAACUUCAGGGAACUGGGGCUAAUACCGGAUAGGAGCUCCUGCUGCAUGUUGUGGGAUGGAAAGUUUCGGCGGUUGUGGAUGGACUCGCGGCUUAUCAGCUUGUUGGUGGGGUAGUGGCUUACCAAGGCUUUGACGGGUAGCCGGCCUGAGAGGGUGACCGGCCACAUUGGGACUGCGAUACGGCCCAGAAUCCUACGGGAGGCAGCAGUGGGGAAUAUUGCACAAUGGGCGGAAGCCUGAUGCAGCAACGCCGCGUGCGGGAUGACGGCCUUCGGGUUGUAAACCGCUUUCGCCUGUGACGAAGCGUGAGUGACGGUAAUGGGUAAAGAAGCAACGGCUAACUACGUG
rnacentral:rRNA from 1 species